GAUGAACGCUGGCGGCGUGCCUAAUACAUGCAAGUCGAGCGAACAGACGAGGAGCUUGCUCCUCUGACGUUAGCGGCGGACGGGUUCGUAACACGUUGAUAACCUACCUAUAAGACUGGGAUAACUUCGGGAAACCGGAGCUAAUACCGGAUAAUAUAUUGAACCGCAUGGUUCAAUAGUGAAAGACGGUUUUGCUGUCACUUAUAGAUGGAUCCGCGCCGCAUUAGCUAGUUGGUAAGGUAACGGCUUACCAAGGCAACGAUGCGUAGCCGACCUGAGAGGGUGAUCGGCCACACUGGAACUGAGACACGGUCCAGACUCCUACGGGAGGCAGCAGUAGGGAAUCUUCCGCAAUGGGCGAAAGCUUGACGGAGCAACGCCGCGUGAGUGAUGAAGGUCUUCGGAUCGUAAAACUCUGUUAUUAGGGAAGAACAAAUGUGUAAGUAACUAUGCACGUCUUGACGGUACCUAAUCAGAAAGCCACGGCUAACUACGUG
rnacentral:rRNA from 1 species